rnacentral:lncRNA from 1 species
UUCUUUCUUAGAAAAUUGAUAGGUAUCUUCUUCAAUGAGUGAGUGAGCACUUUCUCCCGCCAGGGAAAAGUAAUGAUAGUGUGUAUGUAAGUAUAAAGAAAGAUCUGAUUAAAGAUUUUUCUUAUGUUGUAAUAAGUUCAUGGAAUAAAGGUUUGUUUUAUAUACCUUGUGAAUCUUUUAUGCCGGUAAAAAUGAUGGUUGCGAUCAUCGGCCUAAACGGAGGAGGAACGGAACAAUAGCCAAAACUGUAGGACAAAAAAGGCUAAAGAGAUUCUUCAUAGCCAGAAGGAGAAACACCGCGGUGUUGAUACGACCAAUGUAAAGGAAAGACGAAAAGUACAUGAAUAUACUCUAUAGUCUCAUGAACUUAUUAGCAUUGGAAAAAUUAGUUUUCAUAUCUACCUUAUACAUUCAUACAUAUUGUAUUACGUAGUACCUAUAGGGAAUUUUAAAAUCAUGAAUAGUGUAUACUUUUUAAUAUGAAGGUUGUACAACCAGUAUUAAAGGAAUAUCAAAAUUGGUUUUGGGAAACCAAAAAAAAAAUCAGGUUUUACAAUC